UCCAAUUGAUCCAUCCUUUUCUACUGCCGUGUAAGAAUAAAGUGGUGCAUAUACUUGCAUCGUUGGCCUUUGCACACAGAAAAGCUAUCCGUUGCUAAACAAGAUCUUCUUUACCCAUAUUUGACCAAGAAAAGAACCCUUCGUUGGAAUUGGUGGUCUCGGAAAAGAAGUUGUGAAUAUAUGGUAAAAUCUCAUUCCUUUUUAUUUACUUAUUCUUUCAUUGGAGCUUCUUGCAAUUGUUUUAUCUUCGUAUUGUUUUUUAUUAGUUUGAUAUACAUGUCAAAUUUGUGUUUUGUUAUCUAAUUUUCACAUAAUCAUCUUUUAACAUGAAAGUAUGGUGAUGAUUGUUUUUUAUUAGAUGCAUUUGGGAUCAAUUUGUACCUUUAUUUAGCUCGACUAUCAGGAAGCACUUAUUAUGAAUUUUAUUAAUAAUUCAAUCAAAGAUUCAUGUUUUUGUUACUAAUUUGAUUCAAAGAAACUACAUGUUAGAGCAUCUCCAACAAGGGAGGUUUAGAGUGGUUUUGGAAGAGCGGAUGAGGAAUUUCACAGACCAGACCACACCACUAGAGAAGGUGGUUCGGUAAGUGUUGGUUUGCUUAAGCGGACGAGUAAGAGGUGGAAUUGUGGGGACCACCCACUCACAAACCUUUUAUUUUAUUUUUAGUUUAAAAAUGUGGGGUGUGAUAUGCAAGUUUGGAAUGGUUUAUUGUUGUGGGUAAAAGCAGGGUUUGAAAUGGUGGUGGUUUGGAAUAAUAUAUGGCAUGUUGACUAGGCGGUCUUAGGGUUAGGCCGUUAGCUUUCCCGUUAGAAUUAGGGUUUUGUAUUAUGUCUAUUCAUACAGAUGGAUUGUAAAAUACUAGAGUUACAAUAUUAAUAAAGUAUCUCUUUUACCUUUAGAGUGGCAAUUGGUAACUGAAAACUCUCUACCAAUAAUGCUUAUAAUGCUUAUGGAUGUAGUAAGUGUUUAUAAACUUAACCCUAAAUUAAACCAUAUGCAUAGACUCAUAAAACUAACAAAUCUCAUUUGCUUGUCUUGAUUUCUAAACUAACAGGACCAAUGGUUAGCAAUGUUCUUGAACGUCAUCUUGGGAACCAUGACGGGUCUCUUAACGUGAUGAAGGCAGAAUUUGGCAUACCAACACCAUAUGAUAUGGUCCAUAUCAUAUAACAAGGGAAUGUUACUUCAUUAUAAGAAGUAAUGAGGUGGAUGAUAUUGUUGGUUGAUUGUUGACGUGCCAUCAAAUCUCCCUAGAAAGCCAUCUGCCUGUCUAUGUGGGUGCUCAAAUGUAUGUAAAUAUUUGUAUAUAUUCUAAAUCCAUACAUUGCAAAAAAAAAGUAUGUGUUUUUCUCAUGUUGAAGUCGAUGGUCGACACAAAGAUGAAGAUUGACCAAGGUAUUUUAGAUAUUUUCUGGUAGAAAACUAUUUAUGGCAAAAUGUGUAGUAGUCUAGCUCAAAUUUACAUAUUU
rnacentral:lncRNA from 1 species